rnacentral:rRNA from 1 species
CGGCAGCACGGACUUCGGUCUGGUGGCGAGUGGCGAACGGGUGAGUAAUACAUCGGAACGUGUCCUGGAGUGGGGGAUAGCCCGGCGAAAGCCGGAUUAAUACCGCAUACGCUCUGAGGAGGAAAGGGGGGGAUCUUAGGACCUCUCGCUCAAGGGGCGGCCGAUGGCAGAUUAGCUAGUUGGUGGGGUAAAGGCCUACCAAGGCGACGAUCUGUAGCUGGUCUGAGAGGACGACCAGCCACACUGGGACUGAGACACGGCCCAGACUCCUACGGGAGGCAGCAGUGGGGAAUUUUGGACAAUGGGGGCAACCCUGAUCCAGCAAUGCCGCGUGUGUGAAGAAGGCCUUCGGGUUGUAAAGCACUUUUGUCCGGAAAGAAAACCUCCUGGUUAAUACCCGGGGGGGAUGACGGUACCGGAAGAAUAAGCACCGGCUAACUACGUGCCAGCAGCCGCGGUAAUACGUAGGGUGCAAGCGUUAAUCGGAAUUACUGGGCGUAAAGCGUGCGCAGGCGGUUCGCUAAGACAGAUGUGAAAUCCCCGGGCUUAACCUGGGAACUGCAUUUGUGACUGGCGGGCUAGAGUAUGGCAGAGGGGGGUAGAAUUCCACGUGUAGCAGUGAAAUGCGUAGAGAUGUGGAGGAAUACCGAUGGCGAAGGCAGCCCCCUGGGCCAAUACUGACGCUCAUGCACGAA